AAAGAGAGAUUAGUAGAAAAUAGCAACAAAAUGCUGUCCUUCCUGGGUAAUUAUUUCCUUUCCUUUUUCUUGUGGUAUGCGAUCUGCGUAUCUUUGAGUGACUAGCUGUAGUACAGUGUCUGUCAGAACUAUUUUAGUCCUUAGAAAGGGACAUUCAAUAUGUGGGCUUUUGCCAUACCUUGUGUUUAAAGGUGACCCUCUGCACUUCCAGCAGUGACUACAGAUGUGGUUGAGGUGCCUGGUGUCACGGAGAGCAGCAAUGAGCAGACUAACACCAAGGUCACAAAGAGCUGCCCAGGCUUGCUGUGUUUGCAUCACUAAUGUAGCCAACUCUAACCUAUGUGUGGUGGACCCUCUUCUCAGUGUAUCUGUGGCAGUAGGUAGAGCAGCAAGUGUCUGCCUGUUGGCCGCCUCCAUGCCAUUCUCCUCACGGCAAGCAACAUCACUCCUUCAGAAUAAAUUGGUGGCACAGGUUGCUCCUGAUUCAUCCAAGCUGUGUGGCUUAAUUAAGGUUCAGAACUUCCUCAAGACUAGGAAGAAAUUCUUGUCUUCCUGUGUAAGAUAAAACCAUAAAAUGUGCAUCAACA